rnacentral:rRNA from 1 species
ACUCCUACGGGAGGCAGCAGUGGGGAAUCUUGCGCAAUGGGCGAAAGCCUGACGCAGCCAUGCCGCGUGAAUGAUGAAGGUCUUGGGAUUGUAAAAAUUCUUUCACCGGGGACGAUAAUGACGGUACCCGGAGAAGAAGCCCCGGCUAACUUCGUGCCAGCAGCCGCGGUAAUACGAAGGGGGCUAGCGUUGCUCGGAAUUACUGGGGCGUAAAGGGAGCGUAGGCGGACUGUUUAGUCAGAGGUGAAAGCCCAGGGGCUCAACCUUGGAAUUGCCUUUGAUACUGGCAGUCUUGAGUACGGAAGAGGUAUGUGGAACUCCGAGUGUAGAGGUGAAAUUCGUAGAUAUUCGGAAGAACACCAGUGGCGAAGGCGACAUACUGGUCCGUUACUGACGCUGAGGCUCGAAAGCGUGGGGAGCAAACAGGAUUAGAUACCCUGGUAGCACAGAG